rnacentral:tRNA from 1 species
GGAAAANCCGUCGACUUUAUAAGUUGUGAGGGNUCAAGUCCCUCUAUCCCC